GUAGGGAAUAUUGGACAAUGGGGGGAACCCUGAUCCAGCCAUGCCGCGUGGAGGAAGACUGCCCUCUGGGUUGUAAACUCCUUUUAUAUGGGAAGAACCGUCCUCAUUAAUGAGUGACCUGACGGUACCAUAGGAAUAAGCACCGGCUAACUCCGUGCCAGCAGCCGCGGUAAUACGGAGGGUGCAAGCGUUAUCCGGAUUCACUGGGUUUAAAGGGUGCGUAGGCGGAUAAAUAAGUCAGUGGUGAAAUCAACGGGCUCAACCUGUUAACUGCCAUUGGUACUGUGGAUCGUGAAUAUGAGAGAGGUAGGCGGAAUGUUGCAUGUAGCGGUGAAAUGCUUAGAUAUGCUACGGAACACCGAUUGCGAAGGCAGCUUACUAUUUCGUAAUUGACGCUGAGGCACGAAAGCGUGGGUAGCGAACAGGAUUAGAAACCCUGGUAGUCC
rnacentral:rRNA from 1 species